CAAUAGCGUAUAUUAAAGUUGUUGCAGUUAAAAAGCUCGUAGUUGGAUUUCUGGCGGUGUGACUCCGGCCGGCAUGACGUCGGGUCCAGAGCGCGCCACCAUCCUUCUGUCAACCUUCGCGGGAUUCGCUUCCCGCGUUGUGGGCUCAGAUAUUUUACCUUGAGAAAAUUAGAGUGUUUCAGGCAGGCUAGGCCGGAAUACAUUAGCAUGGAAUAAUGGAAUAGGACUACGGUCUCUUUGUUGGUUUGAGGGACUGCAGUAAUGAUUAAUAGGGAUAGUUGGGGGCAUUAGUAUUUAAUUGUCAGAGGUGGAAUUCUCGGAUUUGUUAAAGACGGACUACUGCGAAAGCAUUUGCCAAGGAUGUUUUCAUUGAUCAAGAACGAAAGUUAGGGGAUCGAAGAUGAUCAGAUACCGU
rnacentral:rRNA from 1 species